CAAGCAAAGUUAACACCAUGUAGGGGAGCAGGUGCCUUAAAGUCUGGCUUCGCCCCCAAAAGGCAGCACCGCAAAGGAGAGUUUUCAGGAGGGAUUUAAAGACGCCCAAUGAGUCGGUUUUGCGGAUGUUUAUGGAGAGAUCCUCCCAAGCGUGAGGAACAGCAUCGGAGGAGGCAUGAAACUGCACUGAGGAGCCCCGGUCAUCAACCAGCACCCAUUGUGCAGAUGCUGGACAAACACAGAACACAAAGAUGGUUCCUGGAGUCCUGCCCCGAGAGCUGGUCCAUCCUGUUCUCCCAGCUUGUCUCAGAACACCUGGUAGAAUGAUGGGUGGAUUGUGGGUGGAGUCUCUAGGCUCCGUUGCAAUACAGAUAACUAAGAUUAAUACAAUAACAAUCCAAAAAUCAGCAGAUUGUCUGCAGUUGCAGGCCCAAUGAUUUCAAAGGGAGUUAGGUGCUGAAAUACCUCUGAGGAUCUGGGUCAAUGUGCCUGAGACAUAAAGGGCCAGAGACACCAAACUGAAGCCAGAGAUUCCCAGGGGUUACUC